ACUCUCAGUUUCUGAGUCAGUUUCUCCAUGAAUGCUAUAUACCACACCUUGUGAUACCAAUAAACACAAAUCUUUCCAAUGUUUAACCAUAGUCAACCCAGCUGCCAUCAGUUAAGUGGUUAAUUAGGUCCUGAUCUUUGAGGUCUGCACCUGUGUGGAGUGCAAGGUUUUGAGUUCCCCAGGGCUCUUCAUCUGGGUAAAUGGUGAACAGAGCAAACAAGCAAGCGAGGGAGGAGAGGAAGAAAGUUUGCUGAGUUGAAGCCACAGAAUCUUCAUCAUUUAGGAGACCUAAGAUGGAAACAGCGAGAAGGGACCAGCACUCCUUGCUCUAAACCAGGAGGCAAGUCUGUGAUCUAUGUUCAUCACUAAUCUAGACCACAUUUCUGCACCGAUGAUGAUGAUCUUGAUGCAGUAUCUACUGAUACCUCCAUGACUAUGGAACAAAAAAGACAGCUCUAUGCACAACCCAAGUGGGAGUAUUGGCAUUAAGGUCAAGUGUUUCAAACUAUAUGGAUUGUUGAAGCAUUAUCAGAGUUCAAGGACUGAUUCCACCUUGGCAAAAAUAAGGGGCA